CAUGCAGGCGGUUUAGCAAGUUGGUUGUGAAAGCUCCUGGCUUAACUGGGAGAGGUCAAGCGAGACUGCUAAACUUGAGGAAGGUAGAGGAGAGCGGAAUUCCCGGUGUAGUGGUGGAAUGCGUAGAGAUCGGGAGGAACACCAGUGGCGAAAGCGGCUCUCUGGGCCUUUACUGACACUCAGAUGCGAAAGCGUGGGGAGCGAACG
rnacentral:rRNA from 1 species